rnacentral:rRNA from 1 species
GACGAACCGUGCGAACGUUGUUCGGAAUCACUGGGCUUAAAGGGAGCGUAGGCGGGCUAUCAAGUCUGGGGUGAAAUCCCACGGCUCAACCGUGGAACUGCCUUAGAUACUGACGGCCUCGAGGGAGAUAGGGGCAUGCGGAACUGUAGGUGGAGCGGUGAAAUGCGUUGAUAUCUACAGGAACUCCGGUGGCGAAAGCGGUUAGCUGGGCAGUUGCUGACACUGAGGCGCGACAGCGUGGGGAGCAAACAGG